CAGGGAAUAUUGGUUAAUGUGCGAAAGCGCGAACCAGCAACGCCGCGUGUGCGAUGAAGGCCUUCGGGUCGUAAAGCACUUUUUGCAGGGAAGAGGAAGGACGGUACCUGCAGAAUAAGUCUCGGCUAACUACGUGCCAGCAGCCGCGGUAAAACGUAGGAGACGAGCGUUAUCCGGAUUUACUGGGCGUAAAGCGCGUGCAGGCGGCAUGGCAAGUUGGAUGUGAAAGCUCCCGGCUUAACUGGGAGAGGUCGUUCAAUACUGCCAGGCUUGAGAGUGGUAGAGGGAAGCGGAAUUCCGGGUGAAGGGGUGAAAUGCGUAGAUAUCCGGAGGACCACCGGUGGCGAAAGCGGCUUCCUGGCCAAUUUCUGCCGCUCAGACGCGAAAGCUAGGGUAGCAAA
rnacentral:rRNA from 1 species